AUGAAGAAUGAUGAAGAUGAAGAUGUAAGGUGCGGAAGAGAAGAAAGCUUGAUUGUGUUUUGCAUAGAGAGAGGGAACGAUGGAAGUUUCAAAGAGAGAAUGGAGUUUGAGAGUGCAGGGCUGCCCGAACUUUGGCUAAUUGAGAUUGGUUUUCUUAAUGAUGCAGGCCAUGAAGGGUUUGAAGAACGAUGGAGGGCUUAA